AUUUCCUAUUCACCGCCUGGACCAAGAUCCCCAACCUCAUCUCCCCGCUCUCCAAAUGCAAAGAGAGCUGUCCAGCAAAACAUCCACGGACCCGCAAAGGUGGAAAAAAAGUCAACCCAAAAAACUGCAAUUACCACGACUCAAUGGGAAGUUACCCAUAUUCUAAAAUCUGCACGGAAAGAGUUCGAGAUGGGGUAAAGGAGGUGAAUGUGAGGUGGCUGCCAUGCCCCAAAUGCAAUUUGAGGUGGAAAGAUUCCUGGGUCCCUAAAACAGAGCUGGAAUAAUCCGGACAGAGGAGGAUGCAGCUUAUAUUUCUGCUUGUUUGACGUGUAAUUUGUUAUUUUAGAUGUUAUUGUAUAUU